rnacentral:sRNA from 1 species
AGGUCAGCUUUAGCUCUAGCAGUUACUUCCACCAACCCUUAUAUGGGGUUCUAGACUGGCAGGCAGUUUCUGACCCUGAA